rfam:Pan troglodytes isolate Yerkes chimp pedigree #C0471 (Clint) chromosome 1, whole genome shotgun sequence.
GCUAGGUGUGGUGGUGCACGCCUGUAGUCCCAGCUACUGGGGAGGCUGAGGCAGGAGAAUCACUUGAACCUGGGAGGCAGAGGUUGCAGUGAGCUGAGAUUCUGCCACUGCACUCCAGCCUGGGUGACACAGUGAGACUCUGUCUCAA